rnacentral:rRNA from 1 species
AAUACGUUCCCGGGUCCUUGUACACACCGCCCGUCACACCAUGGGAGCCGGAAAUGCCCGAAGCCAGUGACCCAACCUUAGGGAGGGAGCUGUCGAAGGUGGAGCCGGUAACUGGGGUGAAGUCGUAACAAGGUAAC